rnacentral:lncRNA from 1 species
GUCUCCCAACCAUAUGAACUUUGCUGACAUAGUAGAAUUUUAGUGUCCAAACCAUAGUACACAUUUUGGUCGCCGGAGGCCAGUAAGGCUAUUUUUGGCCUCCCGUGACACAUGUUUUCAUCGUCAAACAACGAUUUCAUGCCUCCCGUCCGCCACCCAUGAUUUGGCCACGAAGACUGCAAAGGCUGUUUAUGGCCUCCCGUAAGCUAUAGCACACGUUUUCAUGGUCGAGCGACCAUUUUUAUGUACGUGUUCCACCACCCGUGUUUUGGUCCGCAGAGCACCUUAAAGUUGUUCUUGGCCUCCCACGAGCUGUAGCACACAUUUCCGUGGCCAAAGUGCCAAUUUCAUGUAUCCGACCUGCCACCUAUGUUUUACACCGGAGAGGCCGUUACGACAUUUUUUGCCACAAGUGAGCUAUAGCACACGUUUUUAUGGUAACCUAGACCCCGAAUCCAAUCCCUAAACCCUAACCUUAAACACCGACACUAAAAGGUUUUAUUGUCCAAACCAUAGUAAAAUGAAGUUUGAGUCUCCAAACCAUAGUAAGCUUGCAGGCAUGUUAGAAUUUUAGUGUCCAAACCAAAGUACAGGUUUUAGACCCCUUAGGCCCGUAAGGCUAUUUUGGCCUCCCGUGACACAUGUUUUUGUCGUCGAACAGCGAUUUCGUGCCUCCCGUCCGCCACCCAUGAUUUGACCAUUGAGACUAGUAAGGCUGUUUUGGCCUCCCGUGAGCUAUAGCACACGUUUUCAUGGCCCAGCGACCAUUUUUAUGUCCGCGUUCCGCCACACGUGUUUUUGUCCCUAGAGCACCUUAAAGCGGUUCUUGGCCUCCCGCGAGCUAUAUCACACAUUUCCGUGGCCAAACAGCCAAUUUUAUGUAUCCGACCUGCCAUCUUCGUUUUAGACCGGGGAGGCCGUUAUGGCAUUUUUUUGCCACCCGUGAGCUAUAGCACACGAUUUUAUGGAAACCUAGACCCUAAAUCCUAUCCCUAAACCCUAAACCUAAACAUCGACACUAAAGGAUUUUAGUGUCGAAACCAUGGUAAAAUGAAAUUUGAGUCUCCCAACCAUAUGAACUUUGUUGACAUAGUAGAAUUUUAGUGUCCAAACCAUAGUACACAUUUUGGUCGCCGGAGGCCAGUAAGGCUAUUUUUGGCCUCCCGUGACACAUGUUUUCAUCGUCAAACAACGAUUUCAUGCCUCCCGUCCGCCACCCAUGAUUUGGCCACGAAGACUGCAAAGGCUGUUUAUGGCCUCCCGUAAGCUAUAGCACACGUUUUCAUGGUCGAGCGACCUUUUUUAUGUACGAGUUCCACCACCCGCGUUUUGGUCCCCAGAGCACCUUAAAGUUGUUCUUGGCUUCCCACGAGCUGUAGCACACGUUUCCGUGGCCAAAGUGCCAAUUUCAUGUAUCCGACCUGCCACCUACGUUUUACACCGGAGAGGCCGUUACGACAUUUUUUGCCACAAGUGAGCUAUAGCACACGUUUUUAUGGUAAACUAGACCCCGAAUCCAAUCCCUAAACCCUAACCUUAAACACCGACACUAAAAGGUUUUAGUGUCCAAACCAUAGUAAAAUGAAGUUUGAGUCUCCAAACCAU